rnacentral:lncRNA from 1 species
GGGACCUAUUGUGCUGACAUUUACAAUGUUUACAUAUAGAAAAGUUUGUUUUUUUCUGCUUAUAAUACCGUUUUCUAAAGAUAUUAGUGAACAAAAUCGAUUUGCUAACAAUAUUUAAUAUAUUUUAAAUGUGCUAAAAUUGGAUUCAACAGCAAAAGUCGCAUAAAUAACAUAUAAAUAACGAAUUUGUUCACCUAUUACAAAUGGGGUUAUGUGGUUGUAACUGUUUAUUUUGGGAAUAAAAUGAAAAUGAUCAAUUAAACGACUGGAAAACUAUAGUGAAGUGAAGAACAUCUUGAAGUUCCAAUGAUGUUUCAAGAUGAGAUAAAUCGAAAUAAUGGUUGUAUGUUAGAAGGACAGAGAAUACGAAGAAAUGUUAUUGCUGCAUACUUAGUGUAGUGAAAUACAAACUUCAAACAUUAUAA